rnacentral:rRNA from 1 species
AGUCAUGGUCAUACCACCCUAAGCACACCUGAUCUCAUCUGAUCUCUGAAGUUAAGCAGGGUCAGCCCCCAGGCAUAUCCUGGAGCUAUUACAG